rnacentral:rRNA from 1 species
GGGGGAGUAACACGUAAACAACCUGCCUUCAGGAUGGGGACAACAGACGGAAACGACUGCUAAUACCGAAUGUGUUCCGGAGACCGCAUGAUUUCCGGAAGAAAGGAUGGCCUCUAUUUAUAAGCUAUCGCCUGAAGAGGGGUUUGCGUCUGAUUAGGCAGUUGGUGAGGUAACGGCCCACCAAACCUACGAUCAGUAGCCGGUCUGAGAGGAUGAACGGCCACACUGGAACUGAGACACGGUCCAGACUCCUACGGGAGGCAGCAGUGGGGAAUCUUCCGCAAUGGACGAAAGUCUGACGGAGCAACGCCGCGUGAGUGAUGACGGCCUUCGGGUUGUAAAGCUCUGUGAUCGGGGACGAAUGGCUGGUAUGCUAAUACCAUAUCAGAGUGACGGUACCCGAAUAGCAAGCCACGGCUAACUACGUGCCAGCAGCCGCGGUAAUACGUAGGUGGCAAGCGUUGUCCGGAAUUAUUGGGCGUAAAGCGCGCGCAGGCGGCUUCUUAAGUCCAUCUUAAAAGUGCGGGGCUUAACCCCGUGAUGGGAUGGAAACUGGGAGGCUGGAGUAUCGGAGAGGAAAGUGGAAUUUCCUAGUGUAGCGGUGAAAUGCGUAGAGAUUAGGAAGAACACCGGUGGCGAAGGCGACUUUCUGGACGACAACUGACGCUGAGGCGCGAAAGCGUGGGGAGCAAACAGGAUUAGAUACCCUGGUAGUCCACGCCGUAAACGAUGUAUACUAGGUGUAGGAGGUAUCGACCCCUUCUGUGCCGGAGCUAACACAAUAAGUA